AAUACUUAGGAAUCUGCCCAUUAAUGGGGGACAACAGUUGGAAACGACUGCUAAUACCGCAUACGCCCUACGGGGGAAAGCAGGGGAUCUUCGGACCUUGCGUUAAUGGAUGAGCCUAAGUCGGAUUAGCUAGUUGGUGGGGUAAAGGCCUACCAAGGCGACGAUCUGUAGCGGGUCUGAGAGGAUGAUCCGCCACACUGGGACUGAGACACGGCCCAGACUCCUACGGGAGGCAGCAGUGGGGAAUAUUGGACAAUGGGGGAACCCUGAUCCAGCCAUGCCGCGUGUGUGAAGAAGGCCUUUUGGUUGUAAAGCACUUUAAGCGAGGAGGAGGCUACUAGUAUUAAUACUACUGGAUAGUGGACGUUACUCGCAGAAUAAGCACCGGCUAACUCUGUGCCAGCAGCCGCGGUAAUACAGAGGGUGCGAGCGUUAAUCGGAUUUACUGGGCGUAAAGCGUGCGUAGGUGGCCAAUUAAGUCAAAUGUGAAAUCCCCGAGCUUAACUUGGGAAUUGCAUUCGAUACUGGUUGGCUAGAGUAUGGGAGAGGAUGGUAGAAUUCCAGGUGUAGCGGUGAAAUGCGUAGAGAUCUGGAGG
rnacentral:rRNA from 1 species